CGGAAUUACUGGGCGUAAAGCGUGCGUAGGCGGUUUCUUAAGUCUGCUGUGAAAUCCCCGGGCUCAACCUGGGAAUGGCAGUGGAUACUGGGAGGCUAGAGUGUGUCAGAGGGUGGUGGAAUUCCCGGUGUAGCGGUGAAAUGCGUAGAGAUCGGGAGGAACAUCAGUGGCGAAGGCGGCCACCUGGGACAACACUGACGCUGAGGCACGAAAGCGUGGGGAGC
rnacentral:rRNA from 1 species